CAGCAGCCGCGGUAAAACGAAGGGGGCUAGCGUUGCUCGGAAUUACUGGGCGUAAAGGGAGCGUAGGCGGACGUUUAAGUCAGGGGUGAAAUCCCAGAGCUCAACUCUGGAACUGCCUUUGAUACUGGGUGUCUUGAGUGUGAUAGAGGUAUGUGGAACUCCGAGUGUAGAGGUGAAAUUCGUAGAUAUUCGGAAGAACACCAGUGGCGAAGGCGACAUACUGGAUCAUUACUGACGCUGAGGCUCGAAAGCGUGGGGAGCAAACAGGAUUAGAUACCCGAGUAGUCCCUGUCUCUUAACA
rnacentral:rRNA from 1 species